rnacentral:rRNA from 1 species
UACGGAGGGAGCUAGCGUUGUUCGGAAUUACUGGGCGUAAAGCGCGCGUAGGCGGCUUUGUAAGUUAGAGGUGAAAGCCCGGGGCUCAACCCCGGAAUAGCCUUUAAGACUGCAUCGCUAGAAUCCGGGAGAGGUGAGUGGAAUUCCGAGUGUAGAGGUGAAAUUCGUAGAUAUUCGGAAGAACACCAGUGGCGAAGGCGGCUCACUGGCCCGGUACUGACGCUCAUGUGCGAAAGCGUGGGGAGCAAACAGG